rnacentral:rRNA from 1 species
AACGAACGCUGGCGGCGCGCCUAAUACAUGCAAGUCGAACGAGAAUGUGUAGCAAUACACAUGUACAGUGGCGAACGGGUGAGUAACGCGUGGGUAACCUGCCCUUGAAUCUGGAAUAACUUCGCGAAAGCGAGGCUAAUACCGGAUAUUGUCCCAGGGACCGUGGUCCUUGUGAUGAAAGAUGACCUCUUCACGAAAGUUGUCGUUCAGGGAGGGGCCCGCGUACCAUUAGCUAGUUGGUAGGGUAAUGGCCUACCAAGGCGAUGAUGGUUAGCUGGUCUGAGAGGAUGACCAGCCACACUGGCACUGAAACACGGGCCAGACUCCUACGGGAGGCUG